AUGUCUCACUUGCCGAUGAAACUCCUGUGCAAGAAGACUGAGAAGCGGAACCUCAAAUUGCAGCAGUGGAACCUGAAGUUGCAGGGGGCCUCAAAUCUGACCCUAUCAGAAAUUCAAAAUGGAGAUGUGUCUGAAGAACACUGGGAGCUGGAAAGUUUAAAAAAUCAAAACAUUCUAUGAAUGUGGGCUUGUCAGAAGCUCAAAAUGGAGACCUGUCUCAUGAAGCAGGGAAAAAUAUAAAAGUUAAAAAUCUCCCCAGAAAUCUAUCGUAUUAACCAAUGGAGAAGCAGCAAUGCAGUCUCCCAAUUCAGAAUCAAAAGAGAAAAAUGCGGAAUGAUGCUGGCCCUGAUACAAGAAAAGCAGAAACUGAAAACAAAGGGGAUUCUGAAUAAGAAAGUACCAAGACUCCUAAAGAAACAGAAAGUAAUGUGUAGAAGCCAGAUCAUGAUGGAGAUGACAGUGAGAUGCCCAGCCUGCCCCUGAAACUCGCAGGAGCUUUUGAGGAUAUUUCAUUGCUUCUCUAUGCCAUCUUGUCAAUGAAAACACUCUGAAUGCAAUAAAAGAAAUGGGUGUUACAAACAUGACUGAAAUUCAGCAUAAAACUAUCAGACCACUCUAGAAGGCAGGGAUCUUCUAGCAGCUGCAGAAACAGGCAGUGGUAAAACCCUGGCUUUUCUCACCCCUGCAGUUGAACCCACUGUUACGUUAAAGUUCAAGCGCAGGAACAGAAGGGGAAUCCAUAUUCUCUCACCUAGCAGAGAAUUAGCCAUGCAAACUUUUGGUGUUCUUAAGGAACUAAUGACUCAGCAUGUGCAUACUUAUGGGUUGAUAACGGGUGGCCGUAACAGAUCUGCUGAAGCACAGAAACUUGCUAACAGGAUCAACAUCAUCUUGGCCACACCAGGGUGUCUGCUGGACCAUAUGCAGAACACCCUGGGGUUUAUGUAUAAACAUCUGCAGUGCCUGGUUAUUGAUGAAGCUGAUCAGAUCUUGGAUGCUGGAUGUGAAGGGGAAUUAAGGCAAAUUAUUAAACUUUUGCCAACACGUAGAUGGAUUAUGCUCUUUUCUGCCACCCAAACUCGAACAGUUGAAGACCUGGCGAGGAUUUCUCUGAAAAAGGAGCCGUUAUACAUUGCUGUUGAUGAUGAUAAAGCUAAUGCAACAGUGGAUGGUCUUGAGCAGGGACAUGUUGUUUGUCCCUCUGAAAAGAGAUGCCUUCUGUUUUUUACAUUCAUUGAGAAGAACCGAAAGAAGGUGCUCAUGGUCUUCUUUUCAUCUUGUAUGUCCGUGAAAUACCACUGUGAGCUGCUGAACUACAAUGAUUUGCCCGUCUUGGCCAUUCAUGAAAAGCAAAAGCAAAAUAAGCGUGCAGCCACAUUCUUCCAGUUCUGCAAUGCAGAUUCAGGAACACUAUUGUAUACAGAUGUGGCGGCAGGAGGACUGGACAUUCCUGAAGUCAACUGGAUUAUUCAGUAUGACCCUCCAGAUGACCCUAAGGAAUAUAGGCAUCGUGUGGGUAGAACAGCCAGAGGUCUAAAUGGGAGAGGGCACGCCCUGCUCAUUUUGCACCCAAAAGAAUUAGAUUUUCUUCAUUAUUUGAAACAAUCCAAGGUUCCAUUAAGUGAAUUUGACUGUUCCUGGUCUAAAAUUUCUGACACUCAGCCUCAGCUUGAGAAAUUGAUUGAAAAGAACUACUUUCUUGAUAAGUCAGCCCAGGAAGUGUGUAAGUCAUACAUACGAGCCUAUGAUUCCCAUUCUCUGAAACAGAUCUUUAAUGUCAAUAACUUAAAUUUGCCUCCAGUUGUUCUGUCAUUCAGUUUCAAGGUGGCUCCCUUUGUUGAUCUGAACAUCAACAGCAAUGAAGGCAAGAAGAAAAAGUGAGGAGGCAGUGGUGGAUUUGGCUACAAGAAAACCAAGAAAGUUGAGAAGUCCAAAAUCUUUAAACACUUUAGCAAGAAAUCAUCCGACAGCAGGCAGUUCUCCCACUGAAGACAUGCCUUUCUUUCAUCUUGAAUAACUUUGUCCUAAAAUGAAUUUUUUCCCCUUGAUUUAACAGAUUUUUUGUAACUUUUAGAAUUUGGACUUAUCUAACAAGAGUAUAAAUUGACUUGGGUUGCAAGCACUGAGCACUGUUACUUCUAUCAAGUUUCUUUUUUAUUUUGGGGAUGUAAAACAGCCUUUAAUUUUCUUGGUUCCCCAAGGGCAGAGCAAGGAAUAUCUGGUCUUAUUGUGAUUAUAUUUUUUAAUUUUAAAUAUCCCUCCCUCAUACAUACAAAUAUAUGUUACUGUUUUAACGUAAUUCUUUUUGUACCU